GCCGGGCGUGGUGGUGCAUGCCUGUAGUCCCAGCUACUCAGGAGGCCGAGGCAGGAGAAUCGCUUGAACCCAGGAGGCAGAGGUUGCAGUGAGCCGAGAUUGUGCCACUGCACUCCAGCCUGGGCGACAGAGUGAGACUCUGUCUCAA
rnacentral:SRP_RNA from 1 species